ACGAACGCUGGCGGCGUGCUUAACACAUGCAAGUCGAACGGUGAAGCGCCUUCCUUUUUGGUGGGUGUGGAUGAGUGGCGAACGGGUGAGUAACACGUGAGUAACCUGCCCCCUUCUUCUGGAUAACCGCAUGAAAGUGUGGCUAAUACGGGAUAUUCUGGGUCUGUCGCAUGAUGGGUCUGGGAAAGAUAUUGUUUCGGUGGGGGAUGGGCUCGCGGCCUAUCAGCUUGUUGGUGGGGUGAUGGCCUACCAAGGCGGUGACGGGUAGCCGGCCUGAGAGGGUGGACGGUCACACUGGGAAUGAGACACGGCCCAGACUCCUACGGGAGGCAGCAGUGGGGAAUAUUGCACAAUGGGCGCAAGCCUGAUGCAGCGACGCCGCGUGAGGGAUGGAGGCCUUCGGGUUGUGAACCUCUUUCGCCAGUGAAGCAGGCCUGCCUCGUUUGUGAGUGGGUUGACGGUAGCUGGAUAAGAAGCGCCGGCUAACUACGUG
rnacentral:rRNA from 1 species